rfam:Triticum urartu cultivar G1812 contig877779, whole genome shotgun sequence.
AUCAUACUCCCUCCGUCCGGAAAUACUUGUCCUCAAAAUGGUUGUAUCUAGACUUAUUUUAGUUGUAGAUACAUUCAUUUUAUCCUUUUUAAGACAAAUAUUUACGGAUGGAGGGAGUACGAA